GUGGGGAAUUUUGCGCAAUGGGCGAAAGCCUGACGCAGCAACGCCGCGUGGGUGAUGAAGGUCUUCGGAUUGUAAAACCCUGUCGUCAGGGACGAAGGUUGUGGGGUGAAUAGCCUUGCAGCUUGACGGUACCUGGAGAGGAAGCCCCGGCUAACUCUGUGCCAGCAGCCGCGGUAAUACAGAGGGGGCAAGCGUUAUUCGGAAUUAUUGGGCGUAAAGGGCGCGUAGGCGGUGAUUUAAGUCGGAUGUGUAAUCCCCGGGCUCAACCUGGGAACUGCAUCCGAGACUGGAUUGCUAGAGUGCUGGAGAGGGUGGUGGAAUUCCUCGUGUAGCGGUGAAAUGCGUAGAGAUGAGGAGGAACACCAGUGGCGAAGGCGGCCACCUGGACAGUAACUGACGCUGAGGCGCGAAAGUGUGGGGAGCAAACAGGAUUAGAAACCCCAGUAGUCC
rnacentral:rRNA from 1 species